CAGAGGCGAAGAGAGGAGAGGAGUGGAAAUGAGAGAGAAGGUUGAAGGAGAGGACUGGAGGGGAUACCGGCGCAAGCAGAAGGGUUAGGGAGGACCCUAGCAUGCCUUUUUCUUUUAUAUAUUUUGCCCUUACUGACACUGUUUCUGCUCUACGUGCUCCCGCUACUGGCUUUAGCAAAUUAGGGAUUUUCUUAUGGUUAUUUGCUUUUGCCAAUG
rnacentral:misc_RNA from 1 species